UACAGAGGGUGCAAGCGUUAUUCGGAAUUAUUGGGCGUAAAGGGCGCGUAGGCGGCUUUGCAAGUGGCGGGUGAAAGCCCUCGGCUUAACCGAGGAACUGCCUGUCAGACUGUGAGGCUUGAGAGCGGGAGAGGUGAGUGGAAUUCCCAGUGUAGCGGUGAAAUGCGUAGAUAUUGGGAGGAACACCAGUGGCGAAGGCGGCUCACUGGACCGGAACUGACGCUGAGGCGCGAAAGCGUGGGGAGCAAACAGG
rnacentral:rRNA from 1 species